rnacentral:tRNA from 1 species
GGGGCUAUAGCUCAGCUGGAAGAGCACUUGCUUUGCAAGCAAGGGGUCAGGGGUUCGAGCCCCCUUAGCUCCA